GGAGUCAUGCAUAGUAAGAGAUCUUGAAAUGCCGCUCAGGAGUUUCAGAAUAGACUCAUAAGGCAGUAGGGAGUGCUGGAGGGCUGUGAGCAGGGGAGUGACCAGUGAGAGCUACACGUAGGGUGGUUAAUCCAGCUACAAGGACUGGGCUGGGACGAUCACUUGGGAGACAAUUACAAUUGUUCAGGAGAGAAGGGAGAAGGCAGAUGGCAGUGAGAAAGGCAGUAAGAGAAGGCAGGUGAAAUCAGAGGCCAAAGAUAGCAAAGAUAGAAGCAGAGGGAUUUAGGAGCUGAUUGGAUAUGCAGUCAAGGAAGAGAGUGAAACCCAACAAGGAGGUCAAGAUUUCAAGCCUGGACCAUCAGGAACAUGACGCUGCAACGAACAAAAACAAAACACAGGAGUAAGAGAGGGUGCUGUGGACAGAGGCCUUGACCCCGGCGCUUCAGACUGGAGUUCCGGUGCAACGUGGCUGUGCUGACACCUCAGCUGGGGGACCGUGUGCAGAAGCUGCCCGGGACACUCAAUUCAACAUGGCGGCGAUGGGCCGUGAGCAGAGGCCCUGCGCCCGGCACUGGAGCUGGAGCGUGAGCAGCACAGCUCCGCCCACCCCGGAAGAACUCGGCCCCCUCCCCUCCCUGGGGCCGAGAUCCCUAUAAAGCAGCCCCGCCCACAGCCUGAUGGGAGAGUCUGUGCUUUAGAGGUCUGUGCUCUAGAGGUCCCCAGCCCCCGGCGGGGGGCCUGUUAGGACCGGGGACGCACAGCAGGAGGUGAGCGGCGGGUGAGCAAGCGAGCGAAGCUUCAUCUGCCACUCCCCACGCUCGCAUGACCGCCUGAACCCCUCCCCCACCCCACCGCCGGUCCGUGGAAAAAUUGUCUUCCAUGAAACCGGUCCCUGGGGCCAAAACAGGUUGGGGACCGCUGCUCUAGAGCAUGAGCUCGCACCUCUUCAUCCUCUGAUCAAAGAAUAAAGCUUCCCUUUGCUUCUGAACUGAGCUUGGUCUCAUUCUAUUGGCUCAAAUGACACCAGGCAGGAGGACCUUUGUCUGGGUCCGACUGGAAAGGGGAAAGAAUAUGUGAGCUGGAAGACCUGGGCAGCUUAAACCUCACACCCAUCAGAAGGGCAAUUAUCAAAAAGACAACAAAUAACAAGUAUUGGCAAGGAUGUAGAGAAAAGGGAAGCUUUGAACACUGUUGGUGGGACUGCAAAUUGGUGCAGCCACUAUGAAGAGUCCUCAAAAAAUUAAAAAUAGAACUACCACACAAUCCAGCAAUUCCACUCCUCAAUAUUUGUCCAAAGAAAAUUAAAACACUAAUUUGAAGAUAUAUGCACCUCUAUGCUCAUUGCAGCAUUUUUCACAAUAGCUAAGAUAUGGAAGCAACCUAAGUGCCCACUGAUAGAUAAAUGGAUAAAGAAGAUGUGGCAUACUGUAUAUAAUGGAAUAUUACUCAGUCAUAAAAAAGGAUGAAAUCUUGCCAUUUGUGACAACAUGGAUGGACCUAGAGGGUAUUAUGCUAAGUGAAGUAAGUCAGACAGAGAAAGAAAAACACCAUAUAAUUUCACUUACAUGUGGAAUCUAAAAAACAAAACAAAUGAGCAAACAUAACAGAAACAGAAUCAUAGAUACAGAGAACAAACAGGUGGUUGCCAGAGGGGUGAGGGGUGAGGGCAGGAAAGAAAUAGGUGAGGGAGGUUAAGAAACUUCCAGUUGCAAAAUAAAUGAGUUGUGGGUAUGAAAUGUACAGUGUGGGGCAUAUAGUCAAUAACUGUGUAAUAUCUUCGUGUGGUGACAGAACAAUCAAUCAUGGUGAUUGUUUUGAAAUGUAUAGAAAUACUGAUUCACUAUAUUGUGUGCCAGGAACUAACAUCGUGUUGUAGGUUAAUUAUACUUAAAAAACCAACCAACUAAACAAACAAACAAACUCAUAGAAAAAGAGAUCAGAUUUGUGGUUACCAGAGGUGGGGGGUGGGGAGAGAGGGAAUUAGAUGAAGGCAGUCAAAGAUACAAACUUCCAGUUAAGAUAUUUAAGCACUAGGGAUGUAAUGUACAACAUGAUAAAUAUGAUUAACACUGCUGUUCGUUAUGUAUGAAAGUUGGAAAGAGAGUAAAUCCUAAAAGUUCUCAUCAUAAGGAAAAAAUUUGUUUUUCUAUUUCUUUAAUGUUCUAUCUGUGUGAGAUGAUGGAUGUUCACUAAAUUGACUGUGGUGAUCAUUUCACGAUGUAUAUAAGUCAAAUCAUUAUGUUGUACCUUAAACUUAUACAGUGCUAUAUACCAAUUAUAUCUCAA